rnacentral:rRNA from 1 species
UCCUGGCUCAGGAUGAACGCUAGCGACAGGCUUAACACAUGCAAGUCGAGGGGCAGCAUAAAAGUAGCAAUACUUGGUGGCGACCGGCGCACGGGUGAGUAACGCGUAUGCAACCUACCUAUCAGGAGGGGAAUAACCCGGCGAAAGUCGGACUAAUACCGCAUAAAACAGGGGCACCGCAUGGUGAUAUUUGUUAAAGAAAUUCGCUGAUAGAUGGGCAUGCGUUCCAUUAGGUAGUUGGUGAGGUAACGGCUCACCAAGCCGACGAUGGAUAGGGGAACUGAGAGGUUGGUCCCCCACACUGGUACUGAGACACGGACCAGACUCCUACGGGAGGCAGCAGUGAGGAAUAUUGGUCAAUGGGCGGGAGCCUGAACCAGCCAAGUCCGCGUGAAGGAAGAAGGAUCUAUGGUUCGUAAACUUCUUUUGCAGGGGAAUAAAGUGCAGGACGUGUCCUGUUUUGUAUGUACCCUGAGAAUAAGGAUCGGCUAACUCCGUGCCAGCCGCCGC